GAUGAUCGUGCUAUGGAAUGAUUCCAGAUAAGUUUUAUUAUUUAUUAUUUCGAUGUUAAAUUUAAUGCAAUUCAUUUCUUUCAGGUAAUUUGCCAACGAUAACUCAGUCAUUAUAUGUAGAUUUGGAAAUUUGUACAUUUCCAUCAUUACAAGCCGACCACUGUCACAUGGAACUAUUUUUGAAGGAUUUGUACGACGAUGUGAUUUGCCUACUUUCUCAACAGUCUUCUCUCCACUUAAAAAUUCAGCUCAGUUUUCAUCCCAGCCUUCUUUGGCAUCAACAAAGUUGAUUAAUGGUUACUCUCAUUAUCAAUCAAUCGACAUCGAUUUCGUGAUAAGAAAUGUCUCCCUUGUCUAGUUUACCUACUCGUCAAUAAUCCUUUAGCAAGUGAAUUUAAUUGGGUUACACAAUUUUACGACUUUCAAGUGAAAUUGUUAUUUCUCAACAAGAAAUGGAUAUGUGGCUCACCGAAUUUUUUAUAGAAAAUGUGUCUCUUGCUGAAAAACGUGACACAGUGUCAGUCUCUGAAACUGAGGACAGUGUAAUUACAGUUUAACGCAUAAAUGACGUGGCAAUAAAUGCACUUAACACAUGCAUAAAUUCCUUACGUUUUACAAAAGUUGUAAUACUAAAAGCAUCUUAAUUAAAUUAAAAAGUAAGCUGAAAUAACAAGUUAUUAUU